UACGGGGGGUGCAAGCGUUGUUCGGAUUUAUUGGGCGUAAAGCGCGUGUAGGCGGUUUGUUAAGUCUGAUGUGAAAGCCCUGGGCUCAACCCAGGAAGUGCAUUGGAAACUGGCAGACUUGAAUACGGGAGAGGGUAGUGGAAUUCCUGGUGUAGGAGUGAAAUCCGUAGAUAUCAGGAGGAACACCGGUGGCGAAGGCGGCUACCUGGACCGAUAUUGACGCUGAGACGCGAAAGCGUGGGUAGCAAACAGG
rnacentral:rRNA from 1 species